AAAGAGUUCUGUUUAGUAUCUGUUGUUGGGGAGAAAGGUCUACCCAAAUCAUCAACUAAUGGAGACAAGUCAGAGGAAGAGGAGGAGGAGCAAGAGGAACAAGCAGAAGAGGAAACUGAGGAGGAAGUGGAAGACGGUAAUAGUGAUUCAUCCAGUGAUUCUGAUAAGACUAACGAUCCACCAGGAGGUAGGAGUGGAGGACAAGGAGAGUCUACUAGUAAUGAGGGAGUAGAGGAAGAGGGGGAGACCGGAGGUGAGCCAUUACAUGAGGAAGGAAAUGAAGAGCAA